CAUACACACUACUGGGCCCUGUUUCAGAAAGCAAGUUAAACAAACUCUUGAGUUUAAACCUGAACUCUGGGUUGACUAACUCUGAGCUGUCAAAGGUUUUCGGGUUUCAGAACAGGUGAUAACAAUUAGUUCAAUCAACUCUGAGUUAAGUUAACCCUGAGUAAAGCACGAGGAUAUAUAAAAAGCCUUCAAAGGAACGCAGAUAACAAGAUUCAUCAUGGCAACAGGAGAAAAAAAGGGCUCGAGCCUCUUACUUCUCCCCAGUGGAGUUAGAAAUAUUAAUGAAUCCGUGUGCAGAAUAUGAGUAUAUAUUUAAGAAAAACAGCAAUGCAGCAGAAGAACGUGAGCUGGCGUGGCAGAAAGUUGCUGACCGAGUCUAUGCGUGCAAACCAACAGGCACAAAACGUACUUGGCGGCAACUGAAGAUGAAAUAUAAAAAUAGACUUCAAACGGCCAAUAGAAAAAAGGCUGAGGGACGAAAAACAAGUGGGGGUCCACCACCACUCAGAGGCUGAAGAGAUGGCCCUCAGUCAAAACAGUGGGCGACCUAUUCCUGAAGGCAUCUCUGUAGG